GACUGAACGCGUGGCGCGUGCUAACACAUGCAAGUCGAGCGAAGGCGCCGUUACUUAGGAUUUCUUCGGGAUGAAAGUAUUGUGACUGAGCGGCGGACGGGUGAGUAACACGUGGGUAACCUGCCCAAGAGACUGGGAUAACACCUGGAAACAGAUGCUAAUACCGGAUAACAACACUAGACGCAUGUCUAGAGUUUGAAAGAUGGUUCUGCUAUCACUCUUGGAUGGACCUGCGGUGCAUUAGCUAGUUGGUAAGGUAACGGCUUACCAAGGCAAUGAUGCAUAGCCGAGUUGAGAGACUGAUCGGCCACAUUGGGACUGAGACACGGCCCAA
rnacentral:rRNA from 1 species